rnacentral:lncRNA from 1 species
CACUAUCACCGAGAAUAGUUUAGCAUCAUUGGGAAUGGUUUAGUAUUAGAGAUUGUGGAUGGUACGUUUGGACUUUUACCUUUGCCGUAAAAUUGAUUAUAACCUAGCCGAAGUUUCCAUAAUAAGGCAGAUCAUCCCUUUCUAUGGGCGAUAUCUAAUCUCACCUUAUCUAAGACAAAAGAUGACCGACAUUUUACGGGCCGCA